GUUUUCUCUCGGUGAAAAGCAGGCUGGCUUCACGGGAGAAACGAAACGGGAAAACCUUAUAAACACGCUGAAAGUUGCUCUAAACGCUUGUUUCUUGGGAAAUUAUCGUCUUUUUACCACUUAUUUUGGCAAGAAAGCAAGAAAAGCAAGCCUUGUGUGCGGAGUUUUCUUCAUUGUUUCGCUUGCUGUCAUUAUGAGGACAGCACACCCAUAGUUGGAGAACAUCUUAGACCAUUUAAAUUUAUGAUGAAGCGUACUGAUGCUGACAUCUCUGCGGGGGACGCACAGACGUUGGAAGGUGGGUCUUCUUGCUUCAUGCAGAGUGGGCUUGGCUUUUUCGAUACGGCAAGGUCAGACGGCGGUGGAGGCCUCCUGCUGCCCGGGCACAAGGACAAGGGCGGCCCGUGCAGCGUCAGUCAAAAGCCUCGCUCUUCUUUCUCCCAAUCGGCAACUUUCUUACUCGCGGGGCGAGCGAGCCAAAGGAUGGGAAUGUGUGUGCCCCUCCCCUCCAUCUGGUGCAGCACGCCUCUGUCAGGAUGUCAGCCUGCACCCCCUAUAAUGAAGGGUGUCAUCAAGGUUACUGCGGCCUGGAAUGGUGCCUGCGUCCUCCUCUAGCGCUCCAUCCCGGUAUCCCUUUUGCCUCAUUCCAUGUGACACAAAAUGCCUAUUUGGGAAGUGGCUUGUUGAUGGUCUGAUGAUGUUUUUAUGGCAGUUGAUCCGCCCAUGGAGAGCACAGAAUCCUGCCCCGACUCAAUUGACAGCAAUUUAUCAUCAUAUUUACCCGUUUCUGAAACUGUAUGCGAUUGUAUUGCAACACUUCAACAGCAAAAACGCUAAUCUAAUUGUAAGAUUAAAUAUCAGAAAUCUAUGUCAGUAGCCACGUUUACAUGGACCCAAAUAUACCAAU